AAGCGGAGGAAAAGAAACUAACAAGGAUUCCCCUAGUAACUGCGAGUGAAGCGGGAAAAGCUCAAAUUUAAAAUCUGGUGGUCUUUCGGCCAUCCGAGUUGUAAUUUAGAGAAGCGUCUUCCGCGCUGGACCGUACACAAGUCUCCUGGAACGGAGCGUCAUAGAGGGUGAGAAUCCCGUCUUUGGUACGGACCCCCAGGGCUUCUGUGAUGCGCUCUCGAAGAGUCGAGUUGUUUGGGAAUGCAGCUCAAAAUGGGUGGUGAACUCCAUCUAAAGCUAAAUAUUGGCGAGAGACCGAUAGCGAACAAGUACCGUGAGGGAAAGAUGAAAAGCACUUUGGAAAGAGAGUGAAACAGUACGUGAAAUUGUUGAAAGGGAAACGCUUAAAGUCAGUCGCGUCCGCCGAGACUCAGCCUCGCUCCGGCUUGGUGUAUUUCUCGGUCGACGGGUCAGCGUCAAUUUCGCCCCUCGGAUAAUGGCAAUGGAAAGGUGGCACCUUUGCGGGUGUGUUAUAGUCCUUUGUCGCAUGCGAGGGGUGGGAUUGAGGAACUCAGCACGCACGCCCUCUGGGGUGUGUCGGGGCCAAGGCCCACGCCACGUGCUUAGGAUGCUGGCGUAAUGGCUUUAAACGACCCGUCUUGAAACACGGACCAAGGAGUCU
rnacentral:rRNA from 1 species